GCUUGCUAACCUUAACCAUUCUAUGACUCCAACCUGGAGGAUGAUUUCAGGAGCAUCUCUUAUGCACUCUGCUACUGGGAGAUAGCUUGAGACACCCGACUAAACACUCACAUAAAUACCUGCUGAAGCAACAAUUACAAUCCUUUCUUUUCCCCCAGACUUAACAUCAGCUACGAGUAAGUAAGAAACAGCAGGAGGGUCAUAUAUCAUGUUCUGCUUUAACAAAAAAUCUGGACUUCAGGCUCCUGGAGCUAAGGAGAAAUUCCUUAACUUCCACCAGAUGUAGAAUACAUAUUUUCCUUUCAGGGCAGUUGCUGGAAUGAACGUCUGACACUAAACAGUGAAUGCUACUGCAGGCCUGAUUUCAUCCAGUCUCCAGCAUCCUCUAAAAUAGGUAAAUAAACACUAUGUAGAGGGGAUUAAUGAUCACUAACCCAUGUUUUCUUAUGAGAUCUGGGAUAAUUCAGUGAUGACUGAGAAGACGAAGGAGGCAGAAAUUAAACUAAACACUACUUUCACUGACCUUACAUGUCUAGAGACUUGCUUUCAUAUAUGACCUAGGUGCCAUGAUUAAAGAACGCAGGGGAGGCAGAGCCCCACUGCAGCUUUCAAAGCAUACUCAUGACACUACAAUGCUCAGCCAUAACAGGAGAAGACUACCCCUGGAUCAAAUGGAUUCUUAGUGCCCGUGGCACAGAAAGUUAAUGUAGGAGCUAGCCUCUGCCUGGAAAAGAAACCAGACUUUGGAUCUUCUUGGCUGGAAGAGGAAAAACAGGGCAUGACACUCUUGCACCUUCUACUGGAUAACAACAGAAAAGAGGAAAAGAGAGAGAAAAAGUUAAGUUUUACCCUAUAGGGUAGCCAGCUCAUCGGGGUUACAGCAUCCCUCAGAUUGCUCUAAAUGGAGUCCAAAGCAGAAAAUCAGCAACUUCAGUUUCAAACCACGCAUGAAUGAUUAACCACCACAUCCAAGUGACUGGAAAGACGAAAUAUGAGGGAUCAGUCCAAUCUGCUGGAAUCUGAAAUGAUGAAAAUGCAAUGAGAUGAAACACGGUACGCAGCUUAUUCCUGAGGGCCACCACUUGGAUAAAAGCGUAAAGCCUGGGGACUUUGUUUACUGUCCACAAUCAACAAAUGCUGAAAUCUCCAUAUGCAGCAGGUUUCUAAAGCUCUGGAGAAGAGUCUAGAAAAGGGGCAAGAGAGGCUGGAUGUAAUGAUAACAUUUCUCUUGCUAAUAAUGUUCUUUGCUAGCAGCGAUAAAGAAGUCUGAGAAAAUCUACAGCCUAAUCCAAACAAACACACAGCCCAAACCUAUGAAGCUAGAAAAGGAUGAAAUUAGUCUCCUCAUCAGGAAGAUCUCCUCUACAGACAGACAAUUAGAUUCUAUUCAUAACACCACCUAAGGUAAUUCAGACUCAUCAAGCAACUUAUCUCUGGUACCUGGACUGCCUCAUUGCCACGUUUGAAAAGAUUAGAAGAGAAACUUCCCUUGAAUGAGUAGUAAUACAGUAGGAGUCCUUCUGCUCCUUUAGGAUGAGGGGGGUUGAAAGAGACAGACAAGAAGGUGUGAGCUCCCAAAAGGAUGCUCUACCCCAGAUGUUGCCCGCUUGUGUCAGGGCAGCUUUGCUUUCACACACAAAAAAGGAGGACUUGCAGCUCUUCACUGCAGGUCAGGUUCUGCUCCAGAUCAAACUCCUGGAAGUUCCAGCAAAGCUUUCUGAUGGAAUUACUCAGCUCUGUCUUUGCUCGCACGUUGCCUCGUGGUCCCAAAGAGAUGGCAGUCUCACUUACUUAAAAUGCCUUUCUUCUCAGAGCCAGAGAACGGACAGAGGACUCCAGGAAAAACUAGGAGGAAUUAAUUCCCUGGGAUUCACGCUCCAGUCUAAUUCAGAGCUGUCUUAGAGAGGACAGCCCUUUCCUCCUCAAUGCUAAAACAUCUGCAAAGGAGACACAGCCAUGAACAGGUUACCAGCUGUCUCGCAAGGAGCUGCUGGUGACCCUACAGGAUCUGUGUUACAUCUCCAACCCCUGUGCAUCAAGCACAAUGAAAAACAGCCUCUGCUCUCCCCUUGCUUGGGAAGAAUAUUGCUGUACAUCUCCACCUGGAGACAAAGCCUUUUAAGAUUCCCCAGCAUGGCUCUAGCUGGGUCUUCUGAGAUCUGUGUGCUUUCCAGGCCAAAACUGACUCAUAUUCUCAUUAAGCAAGGACUGGAGAGGCCUUCAUACAUAGACUUAUUGCACAAAAAGCCUUUAUAAAAGUAAAACAUGUCUAGAAAUUAUAUCCAAUAUAUAUAUAUCUCCAGGCUCAUAAAUAAGACACAUUCUGAAAAUCAGGUGCACUGCUUAGCUGUUGCAAUGAUUUAAGUGAGCUACCAGGGAAUAUCAGCAGAAGUGACACAGAAACCAGGAAUGGACAAAGGUGAGUAAUAAACCCAAGAAAAAUCCUUGAGCCAAAAAUAUAUCAAACCCGGCUGCGCUGAUGUGUUUUCAUUGCUUAGAGAUGUAGUGCCAUUCUCAUCUGGUUAAUUCCAAUUCAGCGUUCCUUUGAUAUACCUUUUAUAAUUUUCAGUCUAAUUAUAAUGAAAAUCAUUUUUCAAUGUAAUUCUGUAAUAAAAAUGUUUCCUUAUUUCUCAUUACCUAAGAACAUGAUCUUGCACAGCUACUGAGCAUGCUUACAAUGUGUACAGUGUAGCUUCCCUUUCUUAGUAUUUAAUCUCUUCAUAGUCUACAGAUGUCAAGAGGUUCAGAUUAAGCUUGUUAAAGAUCUGCUUCACUCUAACUCACUGAUGAUUAUUUAUUUAGCAGUUUUAUGUAACCCUGUCAUUGAUAAGCACUCUAUUAAUUUGCCGAGGGACAAAUCAACACUAGUUAUUUUUCUACUGGCUAUUAGAUUCAGUGCUGCUGUUUGUUACAAACCACUUGCCAGUUAAUUAUAAAUUAUGGGUCCUCUUUGCCUAUAUUAAUUGAUAUCUCCUCUGCCUUUGUAAUACUAGACAAAUAAAUUGAAGGCAGGAUUUAUUAAGCA